rnacentral:rRNA from 1 species
AUUGAACGCUGGCGGCAGGCCUAACACAUGCAAGUCGAGCGGUAACACAGGGAGCUUGCUCCUGGGUGACGAGCGGCGGACGGGUGAGUAAUGUCUGGGAAACUGCCUGAUGGAGGGGGAUAACUACUGGAAACGGUAGCCAAUACCGCAUAACGUCGCAAGACCAAAGAGGGGGACCUUCGGGCCUCUUGCCAUCAGAUGUGCCCAGAUGGGAUUAGCUAGUAGGUGGGGUAACGGCUCACCUAGGCGACGAUCCCUAGCUGGUCUGAGAGGAUGACCAGCCACACUGGAACUGAGACACGGUCCAGACUCCUACGGGAGGCAGCAGUGGGGAAUAUUGCACAAUGGGCGCAAGCCUGAUGCAGCCAUGCCGCGUGUAUGAAGAAGGCCUUCGGGUUGUAAAGUACUUUCAGCGGGGAGGAAGGCGUUGAGGUUAAUAACCUCAGCGAUUGACGUUACCCGCAGAAGAAGCACCGGCUAACUCCGUGCCAGCAGCCGCGGUAAUACGGGGGGUGCAAGCGUUAAUCGGAAUUACUGGGCGUAAAGCGCACGCAGGCGGUCUGUCAAGUCGGAUGUGAAAUCCCCGGGCUCAACCUGGGAACUGCAUUCGAAACUGGCAGGCUAGAGUCUUGUAGAGGGGGGUAGAAUUCCAGGUGUAGCGGUGAAAUGCGUAGAGAUCUGGAGGAAUACCGGUGGCGAAGGCGGCCCCCUGGACAAAGACUGACGCUCAGGUGCGAAAGCGUGGGGAGCAAACAGG